UGUGGGAGCGAGCCUGCUCGCGAUAGCGGUCGUUAAGCAUGCAUCGAUAUAGGACAUGCUGCCGUCAUCGCGAGCAGGCUCGCUCCCACA
rnacentral:misc_RNA from 1 species